UACGUAGGGCGCAAGCGUUGUCCGGAAUUAUUGGGCGUAAAGAGCUCGUAGGUGGCUUGUUGCGUCUGCCGUGAAAGCCCGUGGCUUAACUACGGGUCUGCGGUGGAUACGGGGCAGGCUAGAGGCUGGUAGGGGCAAGCGGAAUUCCUGGUGUAGCGGUGAAAUGCGCAGAUAUCAGGAGGAACACCGGUGGCGAAGGCGGGGUCUCUGGUCCAUUACUGACGCUGAGGUGCGAAAAGCGUGGGGGAGCAAACAGG
rnacentral:rRNA from 1 species